rnacentral:rRNA from 1 species
UUUAGACUUAMAAUAUUUUAAACUUGAGUAGUAUUAGUUAAGGUCUUGAAACUUAAAGAAUUUGGCGGUAUUUUAGUCUAUUUAGAGGAAUCUGUUUUGUAAUCGAUAAUCCGCGUUGGACCUUACUUAAUUUAUUUAAUAUGUAUACCGCCGUUAAAGUUUAAUCUUAUAAGAGUUAUUAAUUUUUAAAUAAUUUAUUGGAUAAUGUUYCAGGUCCAGGUGCAGUUUAUAAUUAAAGUUAAAAUGGAUUACAAUUUUUGUAAUAAUAAUGAAUUAUUAGUUGUAAAUAUUAAUAUGAAGGUGGAUUUAAUAGUAAUUUUAUGUAGAUKGUUAUUAUGAUUGUAGCUCUAAGAUAUGU